CCUACGGGUGGCAGCAGUAGGGAAUAUUCCACAAUGGGCGCAAGCCUGAUGGAGCAACGCCGCGUGGGUGAAGAAGGUCUUCGGAGCGUAAAACCCUGUUGUUAGAGAAGAAAGUGCGUGAGAGUAACUGUUCACGUUUCGACGGUAUCUAACAAGAAAGGCACGGCUAACUACGUGCCAGCAGCCGCGGUAAUACGUAGGUGGGAAGCGUUAUCCGGAUUUAUUGGGAGUAAAGGGAACGCAGACGGUCUUUUAAGUCUGAUGUGAAAGCGUUCGGCUUAACCGGAGUAGUGCAUUGGAAACUGGCAGACUUGAGUGCAGAUGAGGAGGGUGGAACUCGAUGUGUAGCGGUGAAAUGCGUAGAUAUAUGGAAGAACUCCAGUGGCGAAAGCGGCUCUCUAGUCUGUAACUGACACUGAGGUUCGAAAGCGUGGGUAGCAAACAGGAUUAGAUACCCGUGUAGUC
rnacentral:rRNA from 1 species